rnacentral:rRNA from 1 species
CCCUUAGAUGUUCUGGGCAGCACGCGCGCUACAAUGGUCUUCGCAAACGGAUGCAUUCUCGAAGGAGAAUGCCAAUCUUGGAAUCUAUGCCUUGGUCGGGACAGUUGCUUGCAAUUAUUCUCCUUGAACGAGGAAUUCCCAGUAAGCGCGAGUCAUCAGCUCGCGUUGAUUACGUCCCUGCCCUUUGUACACACCGCCCGUCGCUACUACCGAUCGGAUUGUCCUGUGAAUUUCUAGGAGAGUUGAGGUCCUGGCGCUUCGGUGUCGGCGACCUCAUGCUUGAAUUGAAUUGAACUGGACUCUCUAGAGGAAGUAAAAGUCGUAACA